AUAGAAUGAGAUCAUAUCACUAAUCGUUGUAAUAUCAAGUCUACAGAAACUUCUUGUUAUAACGGUAUGGUGUAACGUUUUACCGCUCGUUUUCAAAUCGCCCCUAAGCAUCGGCAUAUUCCGGUUAACUCCGAUACGAACGUAUUUACAUUCCCCCCCUCGUUCCUACGGCUGAAGGUACCGGAGGAAGUAAAUGUGCGUGUAGUUGGGUCGUUUGACCGCUAGAGGCGGUAAUACAUAAAUCGUGCAGUUUGCUGAAUUUGUUGAUUGGUGACCUUUCUAUUCAUUAUUCGUCUUUGAUUCGCACAGCGAGUAAGUUCUUUCUAAGGGUUAAAUUUUGUGAAAAGAAAAAACAUGUACGCGAUUCAAAACACAGUUAGGAAAGUACCGAGAUUACUAAAUGUAUGUCAGAAUCAACGUAGAACACUUCUUGCUACACCACCAAGGGUUAGAGUACCUUUUGCCGAAAAAGUGGCAUUUGGUAUAGCUAUAUGGAUCGGAGUAAUGGGGGUUCCGCUGUACAUUUCGUGUAAUGUAAAUAAAUAUAACGCUCAAAAGAGGGGAUAGACGAUCUUUUGUAGCUGUAUUCUCAAAUUUGUAAAGUAAAUAACUAUUACAAAAAGUAGGAGAAUGUGUAUCAUAUACUUGAAAUAAAUAUGAAAUUAGAUAAAGUA